rnacentral:rRNA from 1 species
GGGCGUACGGCCACACUGGAACUGAGACACGGUCCAGACUCCUACGGGAGGCAGCAGUGGGGAAUUUUGCGCAAUGGGCGAAAGCCUGACGCAGCAACGCCGCGUGGAGGAUGAAGGCCUUCGGGUCGUAAACUCCUGUCAGUAGGGACGAAUGCUUCGAAAGAAGUUUGACUGUACCUGCUGAGGAAGCCACGGCUAACUCCGUGCCAGCAGCCGCGGUAAUACGGAGGUGGCAAGCGUUGUUCGGAAUUAUUGGGCGUAAAGGGCGCGUAGGCGGCUUUGCAAGUCAGAUGUGAAAGCCCCGGGCUUAACUCGGGAAUUGCAUCUGAAACUGCUUAGCUUGAGUCCUGGAGGGGGUAGUGGAAUUCCCAGUGUAGCGGUGAAAUGCGUAGAUAUUGGGAGGAACACCGGCGGCGAAGGCGGCUACCUGGACAGUGACUGACGCUGAGGCGCGAAAGCUAGGGGAGCGAACGGGAUUAGAUACCCCGGUAGUCCUAGCCGUAAACGAUGGGCACUUGGUGUUGGGGGUAUUGAGUCCCCCGGUGCCGGAGUUAACACGUUAAGUGCCCCGCCUGGGGAGUACGGUCGCAAGACUGAAACUCAAAGGAAUUGACGGGGGCCCGCACAAGCGGUGGAGCAUGUGGUUCAAUUCGACGCAACGCGAAGAACCUUACCGAGGCUCGAACGGUAACUGCAAUUCUUGGAAACAGGAAGUUCUCUUCGGAGACGGUUAUCGAGGUGCUGCAUGGCUGUCGUCAGCUCGUGUCGUGAGAUGUUGGGUUAAGUCCCGCAACGAGCGCAACCCUUGCCCUUAGUUGCCAUCAGGUUAUGCUGGGCACCCUAAGGGAACUGUCGGCGAAAAGCCGGAGGAAGGUGGGGAUGACGUCAAGUCCUCAUGGCCCUUACGUCUCGGGCUACACACGUGCUACAAUGGUCGGUACAAAGGGUUGCCAACCCGCGAGGGGGAGCUAAUCCCAAAAAGCCGAUCUCAGUUCGGAUUGCAGUCUGCAACUCGACUGCAUGAAGGCGGAAUCGCUAGUAAUCGCAGAUCAGAACGCUGCGGUGAAUACGUUCCCGGGCCUUGUACACACCGCCCGUCACAUCACGAAAGUGGGUUGUACUAGAAAUCGCUGAGCUAACUCGCAAGAGGGGCAGGCGCUUAAGGUAUGAUCCAUGAUUGGGGUGAAGUCGAAACAAGGUAGCUGUAGGAGAACCUGUGGCUG